AAUUGAACACGGUUGUAGCUGGUCCCUUGCGGGGGGCAUGUGCACGCUGUCGUUCUUUUAUUUCCAUCCUUCACACCUCUGUGCACCUUCCAUGGGUUUCAGGUGGCUCGCGUUUCCAGUGGCAACGCUGUGAUCCGUCGAGUCGAUCUGUUUCUCAUGCGUUCUUACCACACACCUCUGUCUGUUUGAGAAUGUGAAAUGUGUUGUGCAUGCAUAAUGUACAUACAAAAUACAACUUUCAACAACGGAUCUCUUGGCUCUCGCAUCGAUGAAGAACGCAGCGAAAUGCGAUAAGUAAUGUGAAUUGCAGAAUUCAGUGAAUCAUCGAAUCUUUGAACGCACCUUGCGCUCCUUGGUAUUCCGAGGAGCAUGCCUGUUUGAGUGUCAUGGUAUUCUCAACCCCUCUCGUGCUCUUGUGGUGUGAGGGUGGGCUUGGACUUGGAGGUCUCAUGCCGGUCGCUCUCGUUUUGCGGCUGGCUCCUCUGAAAUGCAUUAGCUUGAACGUGUCGUGCUCGCGCACAACACACCAGGCAUGGUUUCAGCGUGAUAAAAUAUCUGCGCUGUUCUCAUGGUUGUUUCAGGCUUACGAAAYUGAAAGAAAAAAGCGCUUGUCGUCUUUUUUCGUUCUGAACAUCUGACCUCAAAUCAGGUAGGACUACCCGCUGAACUUAAGCAUAUCAAUAAGCGGAGGAAAAGAAACUAACAAGGAUUCCCCUAGUAACUGCGAGUGAAGCGGGAAAAGCUCAAAUUUAAAAUCUGGCAGCUUUGGCUGUCCGAGUUGUAGUCUGGAGAAGUGUUUUCUGUGCUGGACCGUGUACAAGUCUCUUGGAAUAGAGCGUCAUAGAGGGUGAGAAUCCCGUCUUUGACACGGACUCCCAGUGCUGUGUGAUGCGCUCUCAAAGAGUCGAGUUGUUUGGGAAUGCAGCUCAAAAUGGGUGGUAAAUUCCAUCUAAAGCUAAAUAUUGGCGAGAGACCGAUAGCGAACAAGUACCGUGAGGGAAAGAUGAAAAGCACUUUGGAAAGAGAGUUAAACAGUACGUGAAAUUGUUGAAAGGGAAACGCUUGAAGUCAGUCGCGUCUGUCAGAACUCAGCCAUGCUUUCGCGUGGUGCACUUUCUGGUAGACGGGCCAGCAUCAAUUUUGACCAUUGGAAAAAGGCUUCGGGAAUGUGGCACCUUCGGGUGUGUUAUAGCCCUUGGUCACAUACAGUGGUUGGGAUUGAGGAUCUCAGCAUGCCUUUACGGUCGGGGUUCGCCCACGUUCAUGCUUAGGAUGCUGGCGUAAUGGCUUUAAACGACCCGUCUUGAAACACGGACCAAGGAGUCUAACGUGCCUGCGAGUGUUUGGGUGGAAAACCCGAGCGCGUAAUGAAAGUGAAAGUUGGGAUCCCUGUCGUGGGGAGCACCGACGCCCGGACCAGACCUUCUGUGACGGAUCCGCGGUAGAGCAUGUAUGUUGGGACCCGAAAGAUGGUGAACUAUGCCUGAAUAGGGUGAAGCCAGAGGAAACUCUGGUGGAGGCUCGUAGCGAUUCUGACGUGCAAAUCGAUCGUCAAAUUUGGGUAUAGGGGCGAAAGACUAAUCGAACCAUCUAGUAGCUGGUUCCUGCCGAAGUUUCCCUCAGGAUAGCAGAAACUCAUGUCAGAUUUAUGUGGUAAAGCGAAUGAUUAGAGGCCUUGGGGUUGUAACAACCUUAACCUAUUCUCAAACUUUAAAUAUGUAAGAACGAGCCGUCACUUGAUUGGACCGCUCGGCGAUUGAGAGUUUCUAGUGGGCCAUUUUUGGUAAGCAGAACUGGCGAUGCGGGAUGAACCGAACGCGAGGUUAAGGUGCCGGAAUGUACGCUCAUCAGACACCACAAAAGGUGUUAGUUCAUCUAGACAGCAGGACGGUGGCCAUGGAAGUCGGAACCCGCUAAGGAGUGUGUAACAACUCACCUGCCGAAUGAACUAGCCCUGAAAAUGGAUGGCGCUCAAGCGUACUACCCAUACCUCGCCGUCAGUGUUGAAGUGACGCACUGACGAGUAGGCAGGCGUGGAGGUUGGUGAAGAAGCCUAGGCAGUGAUGCUGGGUGAAACAGCCUCUAGUGCAGAUCU
rnacentral:rRNA from 1 species